UCCUAGUAUAUAUCUACAAAGAUUCUUUCUGGGAUUAUAAUUACAAUAUAUCUCUAAAUCAAUUUAAUUGACCUUUUUUCUAUCUACUCUCACCCUUCCUUCCUCCUGUACUCCUUCCCUCCAUCUUACCAGAAGCCUACCAGUUUUAAUGAUUUUCAUAGAGUCAACUUUUGUGUUCCUUUCAUUUUUCCUUCUGUUAGUUUACUGAUCUUUGUUUCCAGUCUUUAUUACUCCUUUGUCCUCCUUGACUCUGUUUAAAAAAAAAAUGCGUAGGAGCUGUGGGUGAGGGACCGUUGAAGAUGAAAGAGAAGUGGGAGAUUUGUAUGUUCUUUCUUAGUAGUUUCCUUUUCUGCUCCCUGCAGCAUCAUUCCCUGAUCUCCGUGCCCCGGGAUGUCCAUUUCUUGUUUUCACACUGCACUGAGUUCAGAACAGAAGCAUUAGAGGAACAAGAAGAAAAAAGGGCAAAUUCACCACCAGUUUAGCCACACUCCAAAUUUUAGCCUUUUUCUUUGACUUCCCUGUUCUCGGUUUAUUUUUGAAGCUUCUUGUGUGUUUUUGUUUUUUUUUUUUCUUCCAGAUUCUAUAACUACAGUCAGUCAGAGCAACAAAGGUGAACAUGUCUUUUCCAUCUGCCGAGGACUGGAAAUCCCUACCCCCUUCGUUUUUAAGCCGGGUCACAAUAGUCCUUGGUAUGUGAUACUCAGGCCAUCUUUUACCACCACCUACCACUCCAUCUCUGCGAGCUCCAUAAGAACCAUGAACAAAGAGGAUUGAAACAACCUCAAAGACCUUCAUCCCCAGAAGUGGGAACAUCCCAGAUACUGAAGACGGGAGACAGGCAUUGUAUUGUUUUGUUUUGUUUUGUUUUGUUUUGUUUCCCCAAAGACCAACUGUUUCCUGCUGUAUGAGAACAGGUACUUUUGCUCCGGGGAGAAAACUUACUAAAUUUAGUCUCAGAGCAUCGUGAGCAAAUAUGGUACAUGUUGUCCUAAAGGCCUCCAAAGGAUUUCACAAGCCCUCCUCCAGGCUAGACGGAAAAAAACCGCUUUUUCAUAGAGAGAAAGCCAGAUUUCCUAGUCUCUAAACUCAUGCUUACACACCGUGUUUCCUUACGCUUGGUUGAUUUUUCCCUAGUUUCUGGAACUUUGCAAAGAAUCCAAGGUCAGCUUGAGCUGAGCAUCCUUCCCGCCCUCGUGAAACACAGUACCAACUCUGCUGUGAGUCAAGGGGAAUGGCCCAGUUACAAAUGACUUUCUGUAUGCUCUGCAGAGACACAUGGAGAGGUGAAGCCUGAUCCUAAGUGAGAACUGGUCAUUCCAACCCCCCCCCCACACACACACACCACCCACAUGAACCAAAGAAAUCUUGUGUUACUACAUAGGAUCUGCUUUGAAAACGUAUUCUAAAAUUAAAGUCAGCAUGGAAAUGGAGAGGGUAGAUGGCUCACAUUGAAUGGUCAUUGUGUAGCAGGCCGGUUAUCUCGCCACUGCUUAUCUCACACAAUGAAAGAGGAUCAGAUAAACACAGGCAUAACCUCUGCCUCCAUUGAUAAUGUAAAUCAUCCCUUGUUUCAUUUGUCUUUCCUUCAGGCCAGAUACAAAAGGCAUAGAAAUGAACAAUUCAUGCCUAAACACAGAAGAGCUUGAAAGCGGGCUAUCAAGUGUUGUCUCCUGAGCAGUGCACGGCGUAAUGUGCUAGAGAAACAAUGUGUUUUUUCUCUUCACUUUGUGGAAAUGCCAUUUUUCAUUAUCUGCUGAAUGGGAUCCUGCUGGAAAUUGAGAUGAGAGCAGAGAUGCCCCUCCUGCCGAUGGCCAGGCAUGUCCUGACAAACACACAGCAAAGACCUCCAUGGGAGCCUAGGGAGACCUCCCCCACAGCUCCCCCACAAUGAAGCUGGCAGCGCCAAGCCCUUGAAAGAUGUGGCUCCUUUCAGCCCAUCCAUUUCUGCCGCCCUCUGUUCUCUGCUGAGGGUAUUGUGGGCUGUUGUUGUUUCUCUCAUCCAGUCCAACCAAGGCCCUUCUAAAGAAAAAGCGCCAAGACAAACAGAAUGAGAGCCUUGGGGACCCGGUAAUGGGUACAGAGUGUGAGUGUGGUCAUCAUUCUACUGAUUUGUGCUCAGAUAUGUUUUCUAUUUGCUUUCACACUGAAUGCACAUUCUCCCCCUGGAUCUCAAAUAAUCUGAACCAGGAUAAAACCAUUACAAAGUGGCGUUCAAACACCACUGUCUCUGUUGGAACUGAAUGACUGAUCAGACAUUUAAAUAUGGAAACCAGGAAUUCGGGUGAAUUACAUUAGUUUAAUUGUUGUUGCUGUUUUAAUAGUCAGGGCUGUUUAAUCUUUCCUCUCUUGGAAUCAGUCUCUCUUUCUCUCUCUCUUCUGUCUCUCUCUCCCUCACUCCCUCUUUUUUUACCCCCUCUCUCUCUUCACUGCUCCUUCCUUCCAAUUUUUAUUCACUUCAAUGAUUUGGUUUUUGGUUCAGUACUUCAGAUCAAAUCUGGGGCUUUGGGUAUGGUAAGCACAGUGCCCUACCUCUGAGAAACACUCUUAUCGCCAAAAUUUAGUCUGGUCCCUGAUGCCAAAUAUAAAGAAACAAUUUCUACCUCAUUCCUAACAGAUGGGACAAGGAAUGAAAUUACAACCUAAUUGUCAAGAUCCCAGGUGUCUGGCUACCUUUGCCCUUUCUUUGUGUCAUGAUUCCAGAGGUAACCAACACCUCAUGUCCCUAGUAUCUGCUGCCCAACAUUUUUGAAGUCCAUCUCAGGAAAGAAAACAAAACAAAACAAAACUCCAUGUUACAGGUGGGACGAUUGCUUCAGUUAUUCAUCAUCAUUCCUUCCAGAAGAUGGGUGGAAAAGCCCAGCUGGGAAAUAAAUCUGAGCAUCCUCCACUACAGUGGGAAGGCCCUCCUCUGGCAGCUCCCCGCAUGCCAGCCAAGCAACAGAAUCCUGCCACCAGGCUCCAAGUCCCAGUUUAAUGUCAACUGCUCGUUUCUCAUUUAGUUACUCAAGGAUCAAAUGGAAAUUAUUCAAUAAAAAAGAACUUAAAGGGGA